GUAAAUACGGCGGUGAAGUUAGUUUCAGGUUGGAUAUAUUUUCCUGUAAAUACGGCGGUGAAGUUAGUUUUAGGUUGGAUAUAUUUUCCUGUAAAUACGGCGGUGAAGUUAGUUUCAGGUUGGAUAUAUUUUCAUGUAAAUACAGCGGUGAAGUUAGUUUCAGGUUGGAUAUAUUUUCCUGUAAAUACGGCGGUGAAGUUAGUUUUAGGUUGGAUAUAUUUUCCUGUAAAUACGGCGGUGAAGUUAGUUUCAGGUUGGAUAUAUUUUCAUGUAAAUACGGCGGUGAAGUUAGUUUCAGGUUGGAUAUAUUUUCCUGUAAAUACGGCGGUGAAGUUAGUUUCAGGUUGGAUAUAUUUUCCUGUAAAUACGGCGGUGAAGUUAGUUUUAGGUUGGACAUAUUUUCAUGUAAAUACGGCGGUGAAGUUAGUUUCAGGUUGGAUAUAUUUUCCUGUAAAUACGGCGGUGAAGUUAGUUUCAGGUUGGAUAUAUUUUCCUGUAAAUACGGCGGUGAAGUUAGUUUUAGGUUGGAUAUAUUUUCAUGUAAAUACGGCGGUGAAGUUAGUUUCAGGUUGGAUAUAUUUUCCUGUAAAUACGGCGGUGAAGUUAGUUUCAGGUUGGAUAUAUUUUCCUGUAAAUACGGCGGUGAAGUUAGUUUCAGGUUGGAUAUAUUUUCCUGUAAAUACGGCGGUGAAGUUAGUUUUAGGUUGGAUAUAUUUUCCUGUAAAUACGGCGGUGAAGUUAGUUUCAGGUUGGAUAUAUUUUCCUGUAAAUACGGCGGUGAAGUUAGUUUCAGGUUGGAUAUAUUUUCCUGUAAAUACGGCGGUGAAGUUAGUUUCAGGUUGGAUAUCUGACGGACAUUCUCUGAGGAUCUACCGGUGUCUUCUCACUCUCCAUAACCGGGAAUAACAACAGCAGCGCGGUUAAAUCUACUCGACACCCUCACUGUCAACGUCGGUGUUGAAUAAGGGACCGUCAAUAAAUUACCGGUUGAUGUUCUCAGAAAAGGCUGUUUUCUAAUUGACCUAAAAUUGAUUUCUAAUAAUAGUACUAAGGUCGAUCAAUAAGACAAACAUUAGUGAUCAGUUUUCAUUGAUCCCCUAAAGUUCUUUGUGCUCCUUACUUUUUUAACUCAGGAGAACA